AUGUCGUCUGGUAUAGAGCACUGGG
rnacentral:piRNA from 1 species